CAACAUGGUGGUUCUAUGGUCGCGCCUGUUUUUCCCAAGUGGCCGCAUCCAGGUCUUUGCCAACGUGAUGUGAAAGCUUCUGGCAACAAAUGGCCACAAACCGAUCAAAUGUGAAAGUGACGGUGAACCAGACAGAACAGUCAGUGGCUGCAUAAAGCAGGACGGCGUGGAUAUUACACACACGGAUGGCCUUCAAGAAAUAAAAGUGUUCCCGAUAAACUAUCGGAAUGUGUCUCAAUGUGAGGUCGAGGAUAAUGACCAGAAGAUCCACCACUGCCAUGGCCACAAGGUAACGUGUGACACAUGGAGACAAUCCACAAUCUUUAUAAAGCAGGAUGAAGAUUGUCACUAUGUUAACUGUGAGGAAGGAAAAUAAACAAAUUAUAUAUCA